UAGGGAAUCUUCGGCAAUGGGGGCAACCCUGACCGAGCAACGCCGCGUGAGUGAAGAAGGUUUUCGGAUCGUAAAGCUCUGUUGUAAGAGAAGAACGUGUGUGAGAGUGGAAAGUUCACACAGUGACGGUAACUUACCAGAAAGGGACGGCUAACUACGUGCCAGCAGCCGCGGUAAUACGUAGGUCCCGAGCGUUGUCCGGAUUUAUUGGGCGUAAAGCGAGCGCAGGCGGUUUAAUAAGUCUGAAGUUAAAGGCAGUGGCUUAACCAUUGUUCGCUUUGGAAACUGUUAAACUUGGGUGCAGAAGGGGAGAGUGGAAUUCCAUGUGUAGCGGUGAAAUGCGUAGGUAUAUGGAGGAACACCGGUGGCGAAAGCGGCUCUCUGGUCUGUAACUGACGCUGAGGCUCGAAAGCGUGGGGAGCAAACAGG
rnacentral:rRNA from 1 species